rnacentral:lncRNA from 1 species
GCGACAAAGUAGGUUUGGUUCGCACCUGCAAGAAGUUAAAGAGUGUUGUCCACUUUCAUUUUCCUUUACUUUAUCACUUCUAGACAUCAAAAUAAGAAGAUAAAAACAAAAUUCAAGUAAAUUAACUUAUUCUUUCCUUGGUUUCACUGUCUGUUGGCUUCACACGAUUGUCCCUCCAACUUGAAGAUUU